GACGAACGCUGGCGGCGUGCCUAAUACAUGCAAGUCGAGCGGACAGGCGAGGCUCUUGCGGCGCUGUCGAGAGCCGCGCACGGGUGUGACACGCGAGUAUACUCUACCUGUAUUAGGGGUAACACCUGGGGACACGGGCUAUUAUCCCAUAUGAGCUCUUGAUGCAUAGGGGUGAUUGGUAAGAGUCGGCGGUUGGGGAUGGAAUCGAGGCUUAUCAGCUGGUUGGUGGGGUAGUUGCGUACCAAGGCUUCCAGGGGUAGCCGGCCUGGGAGGGUGACCGGCCACAUUGGGACUGAGAUACGGCCCAGACGGCUACGGGAGGCAGCGGUGGGGAAUAUUGCAGAAUGGGCGGAAGCCUGAUGCAACAACGCCGCGUGCGGGAUGACGGCCUUCGGGUGAUAAACCGCUUUCGCCUGUAACGAAGCGUGAGUGACGGUAAUGGGUAAAAAAGCACCGGCUAACUACGUG
rnacentral:rRNA from 1 species